ensembl:lncRNA MIR4307HG MIR4307 host gene
AAUCAGAGUCCACAUAUGUUCGGGGGAGGGACCCCAGAAGGCGGCUGACAGUAUUCCUUUAGCCAGAAAUCCCUUCAGGGAAGAGAAAGGUGCUCCCCUUUGCCUGCUUUUAUACUACAGACUGUUUCCAACUCCAGCUAGAAGUGACUAUUGCCGAUUAUGCUAAUCAGUGGCGACAAGCUCCCUUUGACUGCUCACUUCUCCAGUGAGGCUUCAAGCUUCUAGGCAUCAAGAUUAGUAAGGCUGUCUUCUGGGUGGGCCAGUUUGUUUCUCAGUGACACGAAAACAUUGCCUGGGGUGUGCACUGGUUUUGAAAACAACUAGAUUGCCCAUCUCCAUUUCUCUCUAUCAUCUACUGUAUUAUUCUAUGGACAACUGCCACCCUAAUAAGGAGUGACAUUGUUAUAACAGUGAGAUUGGCUCCUCCACUCUUUUCUUCCUCCUUCCACCAUGGGAUGGUAACAGCAAUAAGGCCCUCACAAGAUGUGAGUGCCUUGCUCUUGGACUUCCCAUACUCUACAACUGUCAAGAAGGGAAGCCAGAAGUCAAGGCCACAGAAGACACAGGAAACAUCAUUUCCAAAGUGGGAGACAAAGCUGUUAACAGGAAAUUAUUUGUAAAGUCAAGAGCCAAGCAAAACAGAAAAAGGACAAGAAAUCUAUCACCUGUGGGUAUGAAUGGUUCUAGGGAAGUCUGUUGACAAUUGGAGGGUCUCAAAGGCGCUUUAUGGUACUUAUUUUAUGACCCUGAGUCUGGAGUCUGAUGAAUUAAAGAGGAAAUUCUGCUCUGGGCAACAUUUAAGAGAUAGUAUCUCCAGGCAGUAACUUUCGUAUUAACUCUCAUAAGAUUGAUGCCAUUCUGUCAUCUAAAGUGUGGACAAAAGUAGCAUUAAAGCAAAAUGAAAGGAUAUACUAA